rnacentral:rRNA from 1 species
GACAACGCUGGCGGCGUGCCUAACACAUGCAAGUCGAACGGGACUUAGUGGAAAAGCGGGCUUCGGCCAAUGGAAGCUAAGUUUAGUGGCGAACGGGUGAGUAACGCGUGAGAAACCUGCCUUUCAGUGGGGGACAACAGUUGGAAACGACUGCUAAUACCGCAUAACGUAUUUUUGGGGCAUCCUUUAAAUACCAAAGCUUUAUGUGCUGAAAGAUGGUCUCGCGUCUGAUUAGCUAGUUGUGGGGUAACGGCCCACCAAGGCGACGAUCAGUAGCCGGUCUGAGAGGAUGAACGGCCACAUUGGGACUGAGAUACGGCCCAGACUCCUACGGGAGGCAGCAGUGGGGAAUAUUGGGCAAUGGGGGAAACCCUGACCCAGCAACGCCGCGUGAAGGAAGAAGGCCUUCGGGUUGUAAACUUCUUUUACCAGGGACGAAGAACGUGACGGUACCUGGAGAAAAAGCGACGGCUAACUACGUG